UGGCGGACGGUGAGUAACGCGUGGGUAACCUGCCUUACACAGGGGGAUAACACCUGGAAACAGGUGCUAAUACCGCAUAAGCGCACAGGGCCGCAUGGCCCGGUGUGAAAAACUCCGGUGGUGUAAGAUGGACCCGCGUCUGAUUAGCUUGUUGGCGGGGUAGAGGCCCACCAAGGCGACGAUCAGUAGCCGGCCUGAGAGGGUGGACGGCCACAUUGGGACUGAGACACGGCCCAAACUCCUACGGGAGGCAGCAG
rnacentral:rRNA from 1 species